AUGUGGUUGGUUAUACAGAGGAAGUACCUCACGACAAACAAUCUCCAGCAACGCGGGUGGCCGUCCAAUGACCACUGCCCGCUCUGGUUGAUACAUCCCGAGGACUGCACACAUUUGUUUCUGCUCUGCAGCUUCAUGCAACAACUCUGGACGGCGUUCCAGGGAUGGAUGGGCGUAUACUUCCCAACGCCGAAUAGCAGCUUCGGGUGCUCAUAGGACUAGUGGCUAGAGGCGAGAAGGGCAAUACUGAAGCAUGUGCACUGGAAUUUCGACACCAUUGUUAUUCUCAUCCGCUGGAGGAUCUGGAAGGAAUGGAACACUAGAAUUUUCCAGCAAACAGCUUGUAACAUUAACAAGGUCCUAGACCUCAUUAGAGAGGACAUAGGAGUAUGGAGGUCUGCGGGGUGUGUAGCCAACCUGGGUAGCUAA
rnacentral:rRNA from 1 species